rnacentral:misc_RNA from 1 species
GUAGGUGAACCUGCGGAAGGAUCAUUACAAAUCCAUCCACGUCUCAUUCUCACUUGAGACCACGUUGAAAUGUUCCCUAGCGUCGACGUCGUCUCGGCGACGGCGGCUCUAGGCUUGUAAACACACUAGUAUCAUCUGUUGCUCAAUUGUAUCUUUCUUGAUUGUAAUGAUCAGGGCAAACAAAGUACAACUUAUAACAAUGGAUCUCUAGGCUCUU